UGGGGAAUUUUGGACAAUGGGCGAAAGCCUGAUCCAGCAAUGCCGCGUGUGUGAAGAAGGCCUUCGGGUUGUAAAGCACUUUUGUCCGGAAAGAAAUCCUUGGCUCUAAUACAGUCGGGGGAUGACGGUACCGGAAGAAUAAGCACCGGCUAACUACGUGCCAGCAGCCGCGGUAAUACGUAGGGUGCAAGCGUUAAUCGGAAUUACUGGGCGUAAAGCGUGCGCAGGCGGUUUGCUAAGACCGAUGUGAAAUCCCCGGGCUCAACCUGGGAACUGCAUUGGUGACUGGCAGGCUAGAGUAUGGCAGAGGGGGGUAGAAUUCCACGUGUAGCAGUGAAAUGCGUAGAGAUGUGGAGAAUACCGAUGGCGAAGGCAGCCCCCUGGGCCAAU
rnacentral:rRNA from 1 species